AAAGCCCACCAGACCACCGCUGGUGCAAUCUUGGAAACAAGGCACUGGAGGAACGUCCGGACUGCACAGGGCAGCGUAGCAGCUAACGGCUGUCCACUGAAAACCUUGCCCGCAAGGGGGAGGCAUAAGGUGCGGAUCAGAGCAACAGAGACGAGUCGCAAAGGAGCCGCAAGGCUACCUGGCGGGUGAAACGGGCAAUCUCUACGCGCAGCAAUACCAAGUAGGCCAGCGUUGACGGGGCCCCCGGAGCUGGCGGGUAGGUAGCAUCGAGCCGACUGGGUGACCAGCGGCCCAGAGUAAUGGUGGUCACGUGCGGAAAGGAGAACUCCUGACCGCAUGCACAGAAUCCGGCUUAUCGGUGGGCUUUACAC
rnacentral:RNase_P_RNA from 1 species